GUCCACGCCGUAAACGAUGGGUGCUAGGUGUGGGGGGUGUCGACUCCCUCCGUGCCGAAGCUAACGCAUUAAGCACCCCGCCUGGGGAGUACGGCCGCAAGGCUAAAACUCAAAGGAAUUGACGGGGCCCGCACAAGCAGCGGAGCAUGUGGUUUAAUUCGACGCAACGCGAAGAACCUUACCUAGGCUUGACAUGCACGGGAAUGUCGUAGAAAUACGGCAGCCCUUCGGGGCUCGUGCACAGGUGUUGCAUGGCUGUCGU
rnacentral:rRNA from 1 species